UGGAUUGUGUGCCAGCCCCGCGGUAAUACGUAUGGAGCAAGCGUUAUCCGGAUUUACUGGGUGUAAAGGGUGCGUAGGUGGCAGUGCAAGUCAGAUGUGAAAGGCCGGGGCUCAACCCCGGAGCUGCAUUUGAAACUGCAUAGCUAGAGUACAGGAGAGGCAGGCGGAAUUCCUAGUGUAGCGGUGAAAUGCGUAGAUAUUAGGAGGAACACCAGUGGCGAAGGCGGCCUGCUGGACUGUUACUGACACUGAGGCACGAAAGCGUGGGGAGCAAACAGG
rnacentral:rRNA from 1 species